CACGUAGGGCGCAAGCGUUUGUCCGGAAUUAUUGGGCGUAAAGAGCUCGUAGGCGGUCUGUUGCGUCCGCUGUGAAAACCCGGGGCUUAACCCUGGCUGGCAGUGGAUACGGACAGACUAGAGGUAGGUAGGGGAGAAUGGAAUUCCCGGUGUAGCGGUGAAAUGCGCAGAUAUCGGGAGGAACACCGGUGGCGAAGGCGGUUCUCUGGGCCUUACCUGACGCUGAGGAGCGAAGCGUGGGGAGCGAACAGG
rnacentral:rRNA from 1 species